GAUUGGCUGGAAUGAUGAAUCAAUUAGAUGUGUAAGUCGCCUUACGAGCUUAACUUUUGAGGCAUAUAUUUUGUCUGGCCUGCCAAUC
rfam:Zea mays cultivar B73 chromosome 3, whole genome shotgun sequence.